GGGCCCUACAGCAGCCUCGGGCCAGCCCAGUACUCAGAGCAGCGCUCAGCAGGGACUGCAGACUCAGGACUGGAUGAUUUGACAGGUGUAUGACACUCCCAAACAAGAAAUCAGUCGUCCUCACUGGGGAAGCUUCAUCUGCCCAGAGCCACUUCUGCUAUGGAGCUGGUAUCACCCAGUACCAGUGCCAGAAGAGAGCAGAGGGAGAAAAAGAAGGAGAAAACGACCUGCCAGUCUACCUGUGGCCCUAGAUUGAAAAAUCCUGAGUAAACACUGGAGCAAAUCCAGUAGCACCUGAAAGGCUGAGUUUCACAGCCAUAAGGAUGGGUCCUGUGCGCUUCCGCCUGCCAGGAGAGCAGGCGCAGGUCUCUGCUCACAUCUCUGUCCCAGUGCUUAGGGUGGGGCCUGGCACAGAGCAGGUGCUCAGUGAACGUAUAUGGAAUACGUGAAAUUGUAUGUAAAUCAAAGAAGACUGUAACCCAAGGGUAAAAGAAUUUUGAAAUCUGUAAAUAAAGUUAAUUAACAAUAAGUGGAAAAUCAUGAUUAUCUCAGUGGAUGUUGAAAAGUAAUAAUAAAUUCCAGUAUCUUCCCUUAAGAACAGAAGAAGUAUAGAAACCUGUAGGUUCUGGAUAAAGUGGGAAGAGAUGGACAUCUCUUGCCUGACAAAGGGAAGCUCUCAAGAGCUUGCAAUGACCAGCAUGGAAAUAUUUCAGAUGGAAGCAGACAGGGAUGCAUGGUAUCACCAUGACAUUGUACAGUAUUCUGGAAAAUCA